rnacentral:rRNA from 1 species
CUGGAGGUAUCAGAAGUGCGAAUGCUGACAUAAGUAACGAUAAAGCGGGUGAAAAGCCCGCUCGCCGGAAGACCAAGGGUUCCUGUCCAACGUUAAUCGGGGCAGGGUGAGUCGACCCCUAAGGCGAGGCCGAAAGGCGUAGUCGAUGGGAAACAGGUUAAUAUUCCUGUACUUGGUGUUACUGCGAAGGGGGGACGGAGAAGGCUAUGUUGGCCGGGCGACGGUUGUCCCGGUUUAAGCGUGUAGGCUGGUUUUCCAGGCAAAUCCGGAAAAUCAAGGCUGAGGCGUGAUGACGAGGCACUACGGUGCUGAAGCAACAAAUGCCCUGCUUCCAGGAAAAGCCUCUAAGCAUCAGGUAACAUCAAAUCGUACCCCAAACCGACACAGGUGGUCAGGUAGAGAAUACCAAGGCGCUUGAGAGAACUCGGGUGAAGGAACUAGGCAAAAUGGUGCCGUAACUUCGGGAGAAGGCACGCUGAUA